rnacentral:rRNA from 1 species
UACGUAGGGGGCUAGCGUUGUCCGGAUUUAUUGGGCGUAAAGAGCUCGUAGGUGGUUCGGUAAGUCGGAUGUGAAAUCUCCAGGCUCAACCUGGAGGGGUCAUUCGAUACUGCCGUGACUAGAGUUCGGUAGAGGAGUGUGGAAUUCCUGGUGGAGCGGUGAAAUGCGCAGAGAUCAGGAGGAACACCUAUGGCGAAGGCAGCUCGCUGGGACGUUACUGACGCUGAGACGCGAAAGCGUGGGGAGCAAACGG